GGGUGAUUGUUGUGCUUCUUAUUAUCAAGUCUCCGUGGUUUUGUCGAAUUAUAUCAUGUUUGCUAUCAUCGAUGUGGUUUUGAUGUGGUUUUGUCGGAUUGAAGAACGCCAAUUCUGAAUAUGAUUCUUUAUGUGAUGAUGGCGAUUUUUGAAUCUUUUGAUCAAAUUCCUUUAUCCUUUUCAGCUGGUGACGGGGUCUCUGAGAUUUUUCUUCUACUUUCCUUUCUAUUAUUUGAUUUAUCUGGUAUUGAUCACGAAAAUAAGAAUUGGACUAUGAUUUGUUUAUCUGCAGUGGUGUAACACGUCUCUAUACUUCUUCCUUUUAUUAAGAGCUUAGUUCGUUUUCUUGAAUUUUUGGGUUGUACAGGGAAGACACACAAUGGAUGUGAAAUGAAGAUUAUGUUUUGUUACCCUUAACUUUUUUAUGGGUUUAUUCGUGACUGAUCAUUUGAUUUCGUAGUCUAACUUUGUGUUUAUGUUCACUCCCCUUCAGCAAUUGGAGUUUCUGAGAUUUGAAACCCUAAAAAGUUUAAAACGGUUGCAGCUCAGGAUAUCCCAAUUCUCUCUAUCUAUUGUUUAAUUUCUCUCUACUUGAUCUCCAAGGAUUGAAUUGUGUUCGACGUUUGAAUUAUUUUCCCUUAAUGUCCUGCAACAUCUCAUGGAGUAUGUUAUGAGGCCCCAAGGAUUGAAUUGGUGUUUGAAUUAUUUUCGCUUAAUGUCCUGCAGAGUAUGUUAUGAGACAUAAGGGUUGAAUUGUGAUUUGUUUCCUGUUUGGAUGAUUUGCACAGUGUCCUGCAUCUUAUAGAAUAUGAAUGACUUGGUUUUCGCACGGUUCUCGCGAGUAUGUUAUGGCCACCAUUCUUCCUUGGUUUUUUAAGUCUUCAAUUUAUCUUAUCAUUCUAUACUUCGUCCUCGAUUACCAGUUAUACUUUCUUCAAUUAUUGUUCUUUACAGGGGUGUGGGGGUAGGACAGGGAUCAAGUUCCUAUAACUAGUAAAUUCAUUUACGUGAAUUUUGAGUAUAAUUCUCUAUUUGAGUAUGAUGAGUUUUAUACCUUAUUGCUUAAAUUUCUUUUCAGCUGGUGGCUGGUUUUUUGGCAUUUCUUUUGCCUAUAGAUGAUAUGGAAAGCACACCGACCAAGGGCUCGACAUAACCUUAAGUCUUUUUUGAGUUUCCCUUAUAUUUUUUUUUAUGGUAUUACAAAAGGAUUGAACUAUGAUUUGUUUAUCUGCAGUGGUGUUUGGAUUAGUUGGGUAAUGUCACAUAUUCAACUUAUAAAGUUUCUGUAAUUAGUAAAUUCAUUUAGGUGAAUUCUGAGUACAAUUUUCUAUUUGAAGAUGACGAAUUUUAAACCUUUUGCAUAAAUUUCUUUGCACCUUUUCAGUUGGUGGCUGGUUCUCUGGCAUUUCUUUUGCCUAUGGAUGAUAUGAAAAGCACAAUAACCAAGGGGCUCGUCAUAACCUAAGUCUUUUUUGAGUUUUCCUUCUUUUUUUCUUUUUUCCUGGUAUUGUUCACAGUACAUAAGGAUUAAACUAUGGUUUGUUUAUUUGCAGUGGUGUUUGGAUUAGAUGGGUAACAACGCAUAUUCAUCGUAUCAAGUUUCUAUAACUAGUAAAUUCAUUUACGUCAAUUUUGACUAUAAUUUUCUAUUUGAGUAUGACGAGGAAAAUUACUUCAAUUUCUUUUCAUUUGACCAAGGGCUCAACAUAACCUUAAAUCUUUUUUGAGUUUCCCUUAUAUUUUUUUUAUGGUAUUACAUAAGGAUUGAACUAUGAUUUGUUUAUCUGCAGUGGUGUUUAGAUUAGUUGGGUAACGUGCAGAUUCAUUUUAUCAAGUUUCUAUAACUAGUAAAUUCAUUUACGUGAAUUUUGAGUAUAAUUAUCUAUUUGAGUAUGAUGAGUUUUAAACCUGUUGCGUAAAUUUCUUUUCAGCUGGUAGCUGGUUUUUUGGCAUUUCUGUUGCUUAUGGAUGAUAUGAAAAGCACAACAACCAAGGGCUAGACAUAACCUUAAGUCUUUUUUGAGUUUCCCUUCUAUUAUUUUUUUAUGGUUCUACAUAAGGAUUGAACUAUGAUUUGUUUAUCUGCAGUGGUGUUUUGGAUUAGUUGGGUAAAUUUCUUUGCUCCUUUUCAGCUGGAGUUCUCUGGCAUUUCUUUCUCCUAUGGAUGAUAUGAAAAGCAGAAGGACCAAGGGCCUCGACAUAACCUAUUUUUCUGCUACGGACUAUGAUUUGUUUAUCUGCAGUGGUGUAACACGUUUCUAUACUUCUUCCUUUUAUUAAGAGCUUAGUUCGUUUUCUUGAUUUUUUUGCUGUAUAGGUAGUUCGUUUUCUUGAAUUUUUGGGCUAUACAGGGAAGGCACGGAAUGGAUGUGAAAUGAAGUAUUAUGUUUUGUUACCUUUAAGUCUUUUUUGAGUUUCCCUUCUAUUAUUUUUUUAUGGUUUUACAUAAGGAUUGAACUAUGAUUUGUUUAUCUGCAGUGGUGUUUUGGAUUAGUUGGGUAACGUUGCAUAUUCUUCUUAUCAAGUUUCUAUAAUUAGUAAAUUCAUUUAGGUCUAUAUGAGGAUGACGAGUUUUGAACCUUCUGCGUAAAUUUCUUUGCACCUUUUCAGCUGGAGUUCUCUGGCAUUUAUUUCUCCUAUGGAUGAUAUGAAAAGCAGAAGGAUCAAGGGGCUCGACAUAACCUAAGUCUUUUUUGAGUUUUAUUUCUUCUUUUUUUUCCUGGUAUUUAUGACAGUACAUAAGGAUUGAACUAUGAUUUGUUUAUCUGCAGUGGUGUUUGGAUUAGUUGGAUAACGACGCAUAUUCAUCUUACAAGUUUCUAUAACUAGUAAAUUCAUUUACGUGAAUUUUGAGUAUAAUUCUCUAUUUGAGUGUGACGAGUUUUAAACCUUUUGCCUAUCUGGUAUUGAUCACGAAAAUAAGGAUUGGACUAUGAUUUGUUUAUCUGCAGUGGUGUAACACGUCUCUAUACUUCUUCCUUUUAUUAAGAGCUUAGUUCGUUUUCUUGAAUUUUUGGGUUGUACAGGGAAGACACACAAUGGAUGUGAAAUGAAGAUUAUGUUUUGUUACCCUUAACUUUUUUAUGGGUUUAUUCGUGACUGAUCAUUUGAUUUCGUAGUCUAACUUUGUGUUUAUGUUCACUCCCCUUCAGCAAUUGGAGUUUCUGAGAUUUGAAACCCUAAAAAGUUUAAAACGGUUGCAGCUCAGGAUAUCCCAAUUCUCUCUAUCUAUUGUUUAAUUUCUCUCUACUUGAUCUCCAAGGAUUGAAUUGUGCUCGACUAUUUUACCUUAAAGUCCUGCAGCAUCUCAUGGAGUGUGUUAUGAGGCCCUAAGGGUUGAAUUGGUGUUUGAAUUAUUUUCGCCUAAUGUCCUGCAGAGUAUGUUAUGAGAUUUAAGGGUUGAAUUGUGAUUUGUUUCCUGUUUGGAUGAUUUGCAUAGUGUCCUGCAUCCUAUGGAAUAUGUAUGGUUUUCGCACGGUCAUCGCGAGUAUGUUAUGGCCACCAUCUUCCUUGGUUAUUUAAGUCUUCAAUUUAUCUUAUCGUUCUAUAGUUCAUCCUUGAUUACCAGUUAUACUUUGUUGAAUUAUUGUUCUUCACAGGGAUGUGUGGGGGUAGGACAGGGAUGUGUGGGUAGGACUUUCCUCGUGGUUGGUUGAAAAUGAUGGAUGAGUCAUGCUUGACGGUAUGAAAAACACAAUGACAAAGGGCUCGACAUAACCUAAGUCUUUUUUGAGUUUUCCUUAUAUUUUUUCUUUUUCCUGUUAUUGAUCACAGUACAUAAGGAUAUGAUUUGUUUAUCUGCAGUGGUGUUUGGAUUGGUUACGAUGCAUAUUCAUCUUACAAGUGGUGGCUGGUUUUUUGGCAUUUCUUUUACCUAUGGAUUAUAUGAAAAGCACAACGACCAAGCAUUUCUAUUAUUUUUAUGGUAUUACAUAAGGAUUGAACUAUGAUUUGUUUAUAUGCAGUGGUGUUUGGAUUAGUUGUGUAACGUCUAUGUUCAUCGAAUCAAGUUUCUGUAAUUAGUAAAUUCAUUUAGGUGAAUUCUGAGUAUAAUUCUCUAUUUGAGGAUGACGAGUUUUAUCCUUUUGCAUAAAUUUCUUCUCACCUUUUCAGUUGGUGGCUGGUUCUCUGGCAUUUCUUUUGGCUAUGGAUGAUAUGAAAAGCACAACGACCAAGGGGCUCGACAUAACCUUCAAGUCUUUUUUGAGUUUUCCUUCUAUUUUUCUUUAUCCCGGUAUUGAUCACAAUACAUAAGGAUAUGAUUUGUUUAUCUGCAGUGGUGCUUGGAUUAGUUGGGUAACGUAGCAUAUUCAUCUUAUCAAAUUUCUAUAAUUAGUAAAUUCAUUUAGGUGAAUUCUGAGUAUAAUUCUCUAUUUGAGGAUGAAGAGUUUUGAACCUUUCGCAUAAAUUUUUUUUCACCUUUUCAGCUGGUGGCUGGUUCUCUGGCUUUUUUUUUGCCUAUGGUGAUAUGAAGAGAACAACGACCAAGGGCUCAACAUAACCUAAGUCUUUUUUUAGUUUUGCUUCUAUUAUUUAUAUUUUCUGGUAUUGAUCACCUACCACAAGGAUUGUAAUAUGUUUUUUUUUAUCUGCAGUGGUGUUUGUGUAACGUCGCAUAUUCAUCUUAUCAACUUUCUAUACUUCCUCCCUCUUAUUAGCGAUUAUCUUUUCCUUCAAUUUUUGGACUGUACAGGGUUUAUCGUUUCCUUCAGUUAAAUUCGGUUUUCGUGUUCAUUCCUUUUCAGCAAGUCCCGAGUCUGAGAUUUCUUUUGGCGGUUGAGGAACUAGAGUUUAGAAUGGUUGCACAUCAGGAUAUCCUAAUUUCUCAAUGAGUGUAUCCUCUAUUAUUUUAUUUAAUCUCAGCAGCGGUGUUUAGAUGAUUUUUGCUUAUUGUACUUCAUCUCAUGAGUGUGUUAGGAGGGCGACAGUGUCUCCCUUAAUUUUUUGAUUUAUCUAAUCAUCCGUUAUAGAUUUGUUGUAUUAUUGUUCUUUAGGGAUGUGUGGGCUUAUAGUUUUGUUGAAUUAUUGUUCUUUACAGGGAUGUGUUGGGUAGGACGUGGAAACCAUGUCGGGAUAUUUCUUGAACUGUGAAUCAUUCGUUUUUUUUCCUACUCUUACACUAGUUUUUUCUAUUGCAUUAGUUUGUAUUUGGCCAACCUUGUUGGUUCGAUUUUUAUUUUUUCUUCUUAGGCAUAACCAAAUAAAUAUUGGAGGGCUAAUGAAUGUCCUAUUUUAACAUAUGAUCACGACAAAUGGUCUCUUGGCAGCUUGAUUUUAUGAUCCGUGUCUCUAUGCACUGUGACCUUAGGCACUUUGGUGGUCUCAGGCCUAGAUAAAUUGAAAAGAAGUAUCUUGGAGUCAUUCCCUUCAUUUUAGUAGUGGUAAUUAGCAAGAGCUCAGGACUAUUUGGCUCCAAUUUUUUUAUUACAAAACUUUAUUUUGUCUUAGUUUUCUUUUUUUGACAAAUGAAUUUUCGGAAACAGUGAAUGGAGGUCCAGUGAAACUUUAGGUUUUAUUAUCUUUGCAUUCAUUAUUAUUUUCUUUGCGGUUAUUCUUUUGGCUAACCUUGUGGCUAAACAUGUAGAGUGGCAGUUCUUGUAAACAGGCACUAUAUGAGUAUGAUAGGCUUUGACAUUUGUUUUGUUGUGCCUUCGAUUAUCUUCUUCUACUUGGGUUGCAGUGACUUACUAUGAGCGGUUCCCAUGGUUUUCAAUUUUUGAAUUUACCUUAACUUUUCUUUACUCUGUCAUGUCAUGCUUUUAAGAAAAUUAGUUUUCUCAAAUCCCCAUGCUUCUGGUUGAGCUUUUACAGGAAAACUAUAGAUAUAUGGGGCAGGUUUCGGAAAUAAUUAUUGGACUUUACAGGGAAUUCAUGGGCUACCCAAAAUGAGGUGUGAAUUAUGUGAUAUGUGAAGCUCAAUGUUUUUAUUAACGGUACAUUGUAGUAUCUGAAUUAAUUUUUAACUGGCUCAACUUGUUGGUUUGAUUAUAAUCUUGGUUGUAUUUUGAUGGUGUAUGGUUCAUAAGUGGCAUUGUGAGCAUGGGACAAGUGCGGUUGGACUUUAUUUUUUGAUUUGAUAGUUUGCUUCUUGGUUUGAAAAGUUUAGGAUUUAGGGUUUAUUUGACGCCUUUUGGAUAAUCCUCUGAUAUAGGUCUUUGGCUCUUUAUUAGUUUUCCAAACCUUUGAUUCAUUAUUCUUGAUGAGUAAGCAUAUGGGUUGAGUUGUUGAGGUAUGAAUUUGUUUGAAAUUGUUUCAUGUCCCUGGAGUCUUAUUUUGACUGACAGCAAUGUCUCUUACUAUGAAUGACAGUAAUCUCUGAGCCUAUUAUGUGUAUGGAAAUUUUUGAAGUCAGUAUAAUAAUAUCUCACAACUUUGGUCACAUUUCUAUUUUACAUAUAAAUUAUUAACAAAGGGAGGAGAUAAAACAAGUUGUUAUGUAGUAGUAGAAUCUAUUUCUCUUUGAAAUUAUUGUUAAGGACCUACGAGUCAAGUUUUUAUAUUUAAUUUUUUUCCUAUACCAGUCAAUGAUAUAACUCAGCCGUGAAUCUUGAUCAUUCCUUUCUAUAUAUAUACCCAAUAUCUGUUUUGUUGGUAUUGCUUCAGUUAUUGUUGUGAUUCUUUACAAGGUUUUGUGGAAUUACAUGAUGUUUGUGUCGUGGGAUAGAAGAAUUAUUAAGAAUUAUUAGUAAACCGCUUCAUGAAAUUUGAUAUUAGUUUUUUUUUUUCCUUUUUAAAAUGCAGAGGUUUCAAUAUUCAUCAAAUUAAAUGCAUUAGUCAAAUGUUAAAUGCAAUAGUCACAUGGUUUUUAUAAUAAAAUUUAAAUAUAAUAAUAAUAUUAUAUGUAUAUAUAUAUUAUUUUUUAUUAUUGGCCUUUUUGUAAUAAAAUUUAAAUAUAAUAAUAAUAUUGUAUAUAUAUAUAUUAUUUUUUAAAUUAAAAUAAUAACUAUGUGUCUAUUUU
rnacentral:lncRNA from 1 species